CAUUAAAAAUUUCAUCUAUUUAUAUUGUUAAAAGUUAACGUGUUAUUGGAAUAAUCAGACAGUGACAUGUGACAUGCCACGUGUACCUCAUGCUAAUGUACAAGGAUCAAUUUUUAACAGCAGAAAUGAGUGAACUUUUUAACA
rfam:Gossypium hirsutum cultivar TM-1 chromosome 25, whole genome shotgun sequence